rnacentral:rRNA from 1 species
GUGGGGAAUAUUGCACAAUGGGGGAAACCCUGAUGCAGCAACGCCGCGUGAGUGAUGAAGGUUUUCGGAUCGUAAAACUCUGUCUUUGGGGACGAUAAUGACGGUACCCAAGGAGGAAGCCACGGCUAACUACGUGCCAGCAGCCGCGGUAAUACGUAGGUGGCAAGCGUUGUCCGGAUUUACUGGGCGUAAAGGGAGCGUAGGUGGAUUUUUAAGUGAGGUGUGAAAUACUCGGGCUCAACCCGAGAACUGCAUUUCAAACUGGAAAUCUAGAGUGCAGGAGAGGAAAGUGGAAUUCCUAGUGUAGCGGUGAAAUGCGUAGAUAUUAGGAAGAACACCAGUGGCGAAGGCGACUUUCUGGACUGUAACUGACACUGAGGCUCGAAAGCGUGGGGAGCAAACAGGAUUAGAUACCCUUGUAGUCC